rnacentral:rRNA from 1 species
GACGAAGCGUGCGAACGUUAUUCGGAAUCACUGGGCUUAAAGCGCGUGUAGGCGGGAGGGCACGUCCGUUGCUGAAAUCCCCCGGCUCAACCGGGGAACGGGCGCGGAUACGACCUUCCUGGAGGGGCGUAGGGGGACCUGGAACUUCCAGUGGAGCGGUGAAAUGCGUUGAGAUCGGAAGGAACGCCCGUGGCGAAAGCGAGGUCCUGGACGCCUACUGACGCUGAGACGCGAAAGCCAGGGGAGCGAACGGG